rnacentral:tRNA from 1 species
GUUUCUGUAGUUGAAUUACAACGAUGGUUUUUCAAGUCAUAGGUCUUGGUUAAACUCCGAGUAGAAAUU